rnacentral:rRNA from 1 species
GAUGAACGCUGGCGGCGUGCCUUAUACAUGCAAGUCGAGCGAACAGACGAGGAGCUUACUCCUCUGACGUUAGCGGCGGACGGGUGAGUAACACGUGGAUAACCUACCUAUAAGACUGGGAUAACUUCGGGAAACCGGAGCUAAUACCGGAUAACAUGUUGAACCGCAUGGUUCAACAGUGAAAGACGGUCUUGCUGUCACUUAUAGAUGGAUCCGCGUCGCAUUAGCUAGUUGGUAAGGUAACGGCUUACCAAGGCAACGAUGCGUAGCCGACCUGAGAGGGUGAUCGGCCACACUGGAACUGAGACACGGUCCAGACUCCUACGGGAGGCAGCAGUAGGGAAUCUUCCGCAAUGGGCGAAAGCCUGACGGAGCAACGCCGCGUGAGUGAAGAAGGUCUUCGGAUCGUAAAACUCUGUUAUUAGGGAAGAACAAAUGUGUAAGUAACUAUGCACGUCUUGACGGUACCUAAUCAGAAAGCCACGGCUAACUACGUG